rnacentral:rRNA from 1 species
UGCCAGCCGCCGCGGUAAUACGUAGGGGUCAAGCGUUGUCCGGAUUUAUUGGGCGUAAAGAGCUCGUAGGCGGAUUAGACAGUUGAUGGUGAAAUCCCAAGGCUCAACCUUGGAACUGCCAUCAAAACUUUUUAGCUAGAGUGUGAUAGAGGUAAGUGGAAUUUCUAGUGUAGAGGUGAAAUUCGUAGAUAUUAGAAAGAACACCAAAUGCGAAGGCAACUUACUGGGUCACUACUGACACUGAGGAGCGAAAGCAUGGGUAGCGAAGAGGAUUAGAUA